AUUAACUGCAAGGGGAGCCAUUGUGCUGAGACUAGAUUGUGUCAACAAUCUUAACCCUAUGUACCUGAUCUGGUUAGUACCAGCGUAGGAAUGCAGCCAACCUUACCG
rnacentral:ncRNA from 2 species